rnacentral:rRNA from 1 species
UACAGAGGUCUCAAGCGUUGUUCGGAUUCAUUGGGCGUAAAGGGUGCGUAGGCGGCUUUUUAAGUCAGGGGUGAAAUCCUGGAGCUCAACUCCAGAACUGCCUUUGAUACUGAGAAGCUCGAGUCCGGGAGAGGUGAGUGGAACUGCGAGUGUAGAGGUGAAAUUCGUAGAUAUUCGCAAGAACACCAGUGGCGAAGGCGGCUCACUGGCCCGGUACUGACGCUGAGGUGCGAAAGCGUGGGGAGCAAACAGG